GAGGAAUCCUUCGUGUUAGUUAUAUAUGCAUUCUCUGCUUGAAACUUGAAGUGACAGUGGCUAUCCCUUGCAACACAACUUACUUACACCCUUCACAAACCCUGAAAACCCUCCAGAAGAGCUGUAUAACAGGAGCCAUGCAAGAACAAGAGUGGUAAUCGAGAAAACUUUUGGCGUGUUAAAAUCUCGGUUUAGGUGUCUCCACAGGUCUGGUGGUAGUCUUCAAUAUGAACCAGAUAAAUGUGCAAAGAUUUCAGUUGCAUGUAUGUUGUUGCACAAUUAUUGCAUUGAGCAAAGAAUACCUCUUGAAGAGAUCAUUGAUGAUGACUUUAUAAUGAAUGAAUAUGUUGAAGGUGGAGCACAUGAAAAUGGGCACACACAAAGAAGGGAAGUAGUAAGGAAUUUUUUCUCAUAAAUUUUUAUUUCAAAUCAUACUUAUAUAACAAAGUAAAACAUGUAAUUGAAAACACUACAUAAUGGAACUUUUGUAUAAAAAUACAAGUACAGUAACUCAAGAAUUUAUCAAUAACGGAAAUCAAAAACAUUUAUAAUUGGAUUCAUAGAUUUAUUUGUAAGUUAUCCUAUCAAUUUUUACCUAUUAAAUUCAAUAGAACAUACUGUAUAUGUAAGUGAAACAUAAAUAUACAAACAAACUGUUACAAACAUGUACCUGCUUAUUUGGAAAUAUUAUUUAUGCUGCUAUACUUUAUAUGGAAAGUCAGAUACCUGAGGAGAAAUAUAUGCAUCUGACAAAAGACCAAAAAUUUGUGUGAAAAAUAUAUCAGUAAAUAUUUAUUCAUAGACACUAAGAAAUGUGGUACAUAAUAUGGCUGGGUAAAUUUUUGGUUUGUAAAAUAACAGUGUUUGUUAGCCAAUGCUGUGUAUACACAGCAUUGGCCUUAAAAUUGAAUUAUUUUAAUUAUAAAAUAAAGUUGCUUUCAAUACA